GGGAUUGGAGUCAAGUCCUUCGUGUGUACAACCCCCUGAUCACGCACUUGGGUUGCUUUGAGAUGUCUGAUCUUGCAUGAUUGUGAAUGAUCAAGCACAACCAUAUAUCUUAAAGCAUAAUCAAAUGAUCUCACAUGUGAAGGUCUAUCUUGUUUUUUCAGUCCAUGAAAAUUAGUUAUGGGAUCAAACAAAUCGAUAGUUGUGUCAUAGGAGAGAGGAAUAUUAUCACAACAGUAAGAAAAAUGAUAGCAUUAUCUAUCAUAUAUAGCAAUUGUAGGUCGUGUAGUAUACAAGAGCAUGCAUUGUUUAUAACAUCUCAAUAGCU
rnacentral:lncRNA from 1 species